CGGAGGAGUUGAAGUUCGCCUUGGAGGAUCUUCCAGCAAGCUGGUUCUCGAGGUCAGCGAGUGUUAUGAGAUGUUGUUGCGGAAGAGCAGGAUGAAGGAGGCGUGCUUGGAGGCGAGGAGGUUGAGGUAGAAGGUCUUGAGGAGUGUGUGGCAGGGGUCGGUGGUGCCCUGGAAGACGCAGACGUGGUAGCCGCUGGCGAAGGAGGUGGAAGGCAUGAAACAACAAUGUUACGCGGGUCGGGCAUUGCAGCAAACACAACCCAACCACAGGAACGAAUUGUCUCCCCUCUCAAGAGUAACGAAGCUCAUCUCUAAUCUCUCUUCCCACCGCCGCAAGCUCAUAUGAUCUCCUCUGUCGAGUUCACGACGGCGAGGAAAAGGCAAGGCGUCUCACGCUGACGACGUUGACAAUCCUAUCCUUCCCCUUUGUUAGGUUUUCAGGUUUUCUUCCUUUAAGAUUCUGGAAAAGUUUUUGGAGAUGGAAGGUUUUCAUGCCUAGACAGUAGACAAUGAAGGAUACCAUUCCAGAAAUAAUUUGGUUACCGGAGAAGAUGAAGGAUACUAUUUCAGGAAUAAUGUUUGGUGUUGACAGUGUUUUUUUACCUUUCCAUGUAUUCUAUGAAAUAAGAUGACCAUUUU